GCGUUGCAGUGACAAAAGAAAUCCCUCGUCAAACCCCUUCUGCUCCCGAAAUUUCUCUCCGAACCCUUCUAUGCCCUAAACCUUUCUCCGAGUUGCAGCUCCGUCUUCGCCUACUGCUCGCGUCCCGCCUUUCUCCAGGCGACUCCCUUCUCCUUCCCACUUUCUCCAGGCGAUCUUCGACUUCCCCUCCCGAAGGUAUCCAAGAGCUCCAACUCUGUCUCCGCUUGCAGAUCGCGUCCCGCCCUUCCUCAACGAACAACCUAUAGAUCGUGUCCCCGCCUUAAACUGAACUCCAGCCGAAGUCGACAGCGCCAUCUCCUUCCGCUCCCUUAAGUCGACGGUGGUCGGUUUCUCCUUCUCCGUCCCCUUCCGAACUCUAGCUCGGGAUUGCGGACUAAGCAUUGGUGCUAGUCUCUAGAUCAAUCAAGAACCCAGAAAACUAUAUUAUGGAUGUAAGCAACAUUUAUGGUUAAAGUGGGUGAGGUUUGAUACUGGACUAAAUGAAGAUACUAGUGAUAUACAUUUAAGGAUGUUGCCAAGAGUAGAGCCGACAUUAGGAAAUGAAUGCAUUGCUUAUCCUGGGCAUAAUAUAGGAAAUUGAAAUGUAUCGCUUAUCGUCUGGAUAUUUAUGAUAGUGGACUUAUUUAUUUUGGUUGUAUACUUGUUUUGUUUGUUA